rnacentral:rRNA from 1 species
AAAGGGUCCGUAGGCGGACUCGUAAGUCAGUGGUGAAAUCUCAUAGCUUAACUAUGAAACUGCCAUUGAUACUGCGGGUCUUGAGUAAGGUAGAGGUAGCUGGAAUAAGUAGUGUAGCGGUGAAAUGCAUAGAUAUUACUUAGAACACCAAUUGCGAAGGCAGGUUACCAUGUCUUAACUGACGCUGAUGGACGAAAGCGUGGGGAGCGAACAGGAUUAGAUACCCCGGU